rnacentral:rRNA from 1 species
ACGCCUCAGUUCGGAUUGCAGCCUGCAACUCGGCUGCAUGAAGCUGGAAUCGCUAGUAAUCGCGGAUCAGAAUGCCGCGGUGAAUACGUUCCCGGGUCUUGUACACACCGCCCGUCACACCAUGGGAGCCGGAAACGCCCGAAGCCAGCGGCCCAACCGCAAGGGGGAGCUGUCGAAGGCGGGUCCGGUGACCGGGGUGAAGUCGUAACAAGGUAAC